UCAUCUCCGACCACGACUGGAAAAAGUUCGAACCGCCACCACACGCACCGACUCCUUCCUGGAAACCCAUCGCCGCCACCAGCUCCAUGCCCUCUGUAAAUACCACACGAGCCCCCAAUGGUUUCCCCGCAUCGUAGGGUUUGAUUGAUUGACUUCUCCUCUCCUCUCUUCUCUUCCACCUCCCGUCGUCGGGUAAGCGCAAGUACGGUGUUCGUAAUCGGUUCCGAUCUCGCGCUCCCUUUUCGCUAUUCUUCGUCUGAUUGUAUUCCAGGCUAGGGUUCUGUCUUGGUCGAGGUGCUCCUCCCGUCGAUGUCGAGGUCUAGCUAGUCCCGGUGUUUUCUCCUCGUCUGUUCCGUUGAUAUUGGGAUCUAUCAUGCUCUGGUUGCGAUGUGAUUUAGGGUCGCGUCUUAUCCUUUAUAUUAUUAUCAUGGUCAUGAUUGCUUAUUGGAUUUAAGGUUGUGAUGAGAAAUGGAGAUUAUAUUUGGCGUGAAUAACGAGGUCUGUCGGUAUAGAUACGUGGAGGUGGAGCAGUUUGUUUUGUUUCAUUUCUGUUUGUUCUGGAAUCUGGAGGAUUGGUCUGGUCGGUUUAGUUGGUUCCGUGGAGAUGUUUGACAUGAUCCGAAUGAGAGAUUGAAGGUUGUGGUUUCAUUUUGGCUUGGUCAGUUCAAGGUGUUUAUAUUUUUGUGGCGAAAAACAACGGGUUGGAGACAGUUCACAGUCAAAAUUCUGCUGUUAUUUUUGCUUUUGAUCCCGUUCCUUCAUACUUGGUCAGACUCAAUAAAAAUUGGAGGAAGUUGGAAAAAGGUUUGCUAGGUCUAUUUGGAUAUAUUUGCUUUCGCCUAUCAGCCUAUACACGUCAGAUUAUAUGGAAAGGAUUGUGCUAUAUUACCAUGUUAUAAACUGUGUUGACAUGUUCAUGGCGGAGGUGAUUCUUCAGUGGCUAUGUUUUGGUGUCAACUUUGGUUUGUUUCAUUUCAAGAUUCAUAGGAAAAUCGGAGGUGCUUGUUUUGUUUGCGUUCUAGAUUUAAUUUCUCAGGAAGCACCUUAAAUGAACAUGGAAGUUUGCUUUUGAAGUGAUCUGUUUGAAGGUUGUUUCAACUACAGUGAAGAUGCUCUUGGUUUGUCUCUGCAGAAUUACUUCACUGUUGCUGUGUUUUUCUUUGGUGGUAUGUCAAGGUGUAUUCAGAUGCUGGUUACUGUGUUGGAAUCUACCAAUCCUUCUGAUCACUAGUUUGUGUGUAUGAUUUUCUAAACGGAUAUUUGGUUGGGCUUCAGCUGGUUUCAUGUUCUGUCCGGUGUUGGAUUAGUCUUAGGUUGGUAAUUCGUAUUCUUAUUGUAAUCUGCAGCCAUGUUUUGUUAAUUAGUAUGUUCUAAUGCAAUUUAUGCUGUACACAAUUGUCAAUUAUGCAUCUGGUCUGAUGUUGCGAACUGUAACUGAUGUAAUUGUUGAAUGAUAUGUAUGGAUGCCUUAAUUUAGCCUUUCGUCGUCUGUCCAGUGUUGGAUUAGUCUUAGGUUGGUAAUUAGUAUUCUUAUUGUAAUCUGCAGCCAUGUUUUGUUAAUUAGUAUGUUCUAAUGCAAUUUAUGCUGUACACCAUUGUCAAUUAUGCAUCUGGUCUGAUGUUGCGAACUGUAACUGAUGUAAUUGUUGAAUGAUAUAUAUGGAUGCCUUAAUUUAGCC